CACAGUUUAUACUGGUCUUCAGUGCACACCUGAAAAGCUUUCCCAGUCUAAGCUAUAAAUAAUAGGAAUGGAAUAAUAAGCUAUUCUUACAUUACUAUUUUUGCUAAUAGGGCCUGCUCCACCCUUAAGAAGGAAGUGGUAGCAACCAGCACUACUGGAGUGUCCUUAGCUGUAUUUACUUUGUGUAGAGGGAUACUAUAUAUACACUGCAUUAGAUCAUAUCUCUAAUAAUUUUGAGUGCCUUACUAUUCCGUUAAUGAUCCUUAAAAGUAAGACUUUUAAAGAUUGCAAAAAAGGAAUUUAUUGGCUUACAUAGCUGAAACAUAUGAAAGAAGUGAUGGAAAUGACUUCAGGAUUUACUGGAUCUAAGUACUUAAGGAUAAUUAAGAUAGUCUCCUCAUUUUAUUUUUACUUAUUUAUUUUUUGAUAUUGGGGAUUGGACUCAGGGACACUCGACCACUGAGCCAUAUCCCCAGCCUUAAUUUGUAUUUUAUUUAGAGAGAGGGUCUCACUGAGUUGCUUAAUGCCUUGCCAUUGCUGAGGCUGGCUUUGAACUUGUGAUUCUUCUGCCUCAGCCUCCGAGCUGUUGAGAUUAUCGGCAUAUGCCACCUUGUCCGGCUCUGUCCAUUUUUUAUCCUAAUUUUGGUUUAUUCUCUCUGUGGUCUAGGAACAUGAUGGCUAGCAGUUCUAGGGUUCCAUUCUUACAACUCCAGAUUGAGGAAGCUGUUCCUAAUACAGAAAGUUCCAAGCAAGGAUUAUGAUCAUCCCAGCUCUAGUCAUUUUUCUUGGCUAAAUUAUUCUGUCCAAGAAGUUGUACCAAAGCUUGGAUCUCAAGCCUUACUUUUGUGGUGAAAAAGGGCUUGGGGUAGGUGUGGGAGCUGGAUAUUGGUAAUUAGCAUAAAGGGGACAGGGGGGCUGGACAGAAAAAUACCAAAUGUCCACUGAUUUGAUUGAUGAACUUGUUAAUUUUGAAUUCUGGAAGGAAGGCAGCAUGGCUGUCUUCCAUUAUCUAGGGCUGUAAUGUGUAAUAUGGUAGACAGUAGCCAUAUGUAGCUCCUUAAGCCUAAUUAAAUAAAACUCAGUUUCUCAGUUGCACUUGGUAUAUUUCAAGUACUCAAUAACCCCAAGGUCAGUGACUACUGCACUGGACAGAGGUGAUACAGAACAUUUUCAUUAUCACAGAAAAUUCUUUUGGACAGUGCUGACCUACAGUAUACAGGUGUUCUCCUAAGUUAACUCACUGAAAAAAAAAGAAAAAAAAAAAACGUUGGAAAAUCUCAAGCAUAUACAUAAUAAUGAACCUCCAGCUUCAACAACCAAAAAUUUUUUGCCAAAUAUUAAAAGCAAACCCCAGAUGUAUUAUUUCAUCUGUAAAUUCUUUAGCAUGUAUUUCUAACAGAUAAAAGUUUAAAAGGGUAACCAAAUAGUAUUUUAUGCUAUUAUUAUUAAUUCUUUAAUAUUCUACCCCUAAUGCCCAAUACAUGUUUAAAUCUUCCUGAUUUGUCUCAACAUAGCUUUUUUGAGUUUGUAUAUUAGCUUUCUCUUGCUACUGUAACAAAUCACUGCUCAUUUAUUACAAACUUAUUAUAUUACCAGUUUUCUAGAUCAGAAGUCUGAUCCUGGCCCCUAUCCUUAGAUCAAGGAACCGACAGGGUUAUCUUCCUUUCUGGAUAUUCUAGAAAAGAACCUGUUUACUUGCCUUUUCCAGCUUCUAGAGACUUUAUUUCUUAGCUCAUGGUCCCCUUCUUUGCUCUUCAAACCUAGCAGUGAUACAUCUCUGACUCUUCUGUGGUCACCCCUACUCUGAAGCCAGAUGGGAAGGAUUCUUUGUAAUUUUGGACCCACCUGGGAUAACUCAAGGUACUCUCCUCAUUUCAAGGUUCUUAACUUAAUCACACCAGCAAAAUGUCUUUUACAUCAAGUAAUAUAUUCAUUCACACAGGUUCUGGGGAUUAGGAUGUGGUUUUCUUUUGAGAUGCUAUUAUUCUGCCUACCACAGUUGUUAGGAAAUAAGAUUUAAACAUGAUAUCACUAACUAUAUUUGUUUCCUAUGUCUGCAUUUGUAAAAAUCUGUUAUAAUUCCUUCCCCACUUUGUUUUAAGUGAAGCUCUUUUAAAAAUACCUUUAUAUUUUAGCAUGUUUAUUUGCUGCUUAAGCAGAGAGCCUAAUAUUAUCUAUGAUUGCACUUGAAAUUGUUGAUUUUAUUCUAAGUUGGUGUUCUUGGGUAAAAAUUAUAACAUUAAUUCUAAGUGUAGAAAUUUUACAAUGAGAGAAAUAGCUUUCAUGUCCUUUCAUCAGUGGAGAAGGGUGAUACCUGGAAAGUCAUUUGGCCAUUUGACCUCAGGAGGCAUUACUUGGAUGAACGUACUCUCCAGAGUUUGAUUUGCAGCAUUGCAGGUCCAGAAACUGAUUUCAUCAGCAAAUGGAGAACACAUCUCUCCUGGAAUGGAUUCAUAGAAACCAAGCUUAUGAGACCAAUGUAAGAAAAUGGAUAUCAAUUUACAGAAAUAAAUAAAACUUAA
rnacentral:lncRNA from 1 species